AAGCGCAUCUGUAUCCGUUAGAUCUCGAUUUAGCGACUUUGAUCAUCAAAAUAAUCUCUGCGAUUGUUCUUCCUUUUCUCGCCCUCUCUUCUCUUCGGCGAAUUCUUGCCGAUCGUCACGCCCGCCCAGUCUUUGAAGGUGUCUUAAGAGAAAGUUAAUUGUGUGCAUAAAAAAAUGUCUCGUAAAGGAUUGAUGGAGCAGGACUUGAGUAAACUCGAUGUUCCACAGCUUCACCCACUAUCACCAGAAUUUGUCUCACGUCUGGCUACUAUUAACCUUGAUGCAGCCCUUGUCAUAGGAAAGAUGAACUAGUGGUGGUACUUGUUUAGUAACACUUUAGUCGAAUAAUAAUAUUCAUGUAUAUCAUAUAAUAAUAUAAGUAGGGCGGGGACGAGGUGGGGAGUGAUCGACCCGUCCCCAACCCCAUAAUUGCACGGGCAAUAUAAAAUGCCCCCUAUCCAUGUUUAUUUUUCCUCAUCCCUGCCCCGUUAUGGGCGGGCCCACAGGUACACGUAUUUGUAGGCAUAAUUGGCAUAAGCUGUCGAUGGGGGAUCGAGUUGUUGGUGUGAAGAACGUGAUUUUGACCAUAAGCUGCAGUAGUAAGCUGCAGCUUACUGCGCCAGUGUGCACGAGAAAAGGGGAGAAGAUUGCUUCUCAGCCUUUGCCGCCUCAUCGGCUGGGAGGCCGGUGUGACCCUCGAAGUCCCACCCUGCCCCAUCCGAGAGAAGAUUCUUUCCUUCCCAUCGUCCCUCCGUUGUAGAAGGAGAAAAUCCCAAAAAAA